ACGAAUGUGCUUUAUUGUACUGCUCAAGCUUGGGGAUCAGUUGCAGGGCUUGCUCGCGGGUAAUGAGGUCACCCCAUCGUUUGAGACUGGAGAUUCCUGCGCAGCCCUCAUAGCAAGCACCAUCUGCUACAAAUUCCCGGUAAAACAAGCGGUCGGGGCUCAGCGGGUGGCUUGCAACAAGAUGGCGGACUGAAACGUAGCUGCUCUUGCGGCGCUUUAAGAAUCCACCAACCUGCAAUGGAGUGGACAUUUGGCUCAGACUCGUAGUCAUUGGAAUACGAUUAGCAUUUAGUGCUUGAAGCUUGCCGCUAGCCCGCACACGGUGUCAAGGCUGACUGUGGCUUAACAACGCGGUAAAUUCGGGAGAUUCUGG
rnacentral:misc_RNA from 1 species